GUAGGGUGGCAAGCGUUGUCCGGAAUUAUUGGGGCGUUAAAGCGCGCGCAGGUGGUUCUUUAAGUCUGAUGUGAAAGCCCCCGGCUCAACCGGGGAGGGUCAUUGGAAACUGGGGGACUUGAGUACAGAAGAGGAAAGCGGAAUUCCAAGUGUAGCGGUGAAAUGCGUAGAGAUUUGGAGGAACACCAGUGGCGAAGGCGGCUUUCUGGUCUGUAACUGACGCUGAGGCGCGAAAGCGUGGGGAGCAAACAGGAUUAGAUACCCUGGUAGUCCACGCCGUAAACGAUGAGUGCUAAGUGUUAGGGGGUUUCCGCCCCUUAGUGCUGCAGCUAACGCAUUAAGCACUCCGCCUGGGGAGUACGGCCGCAAGGCUG
rnacentral:rRNA from 1 species